GGCGGGCGUGGUGGCCCAUGCCUGUAAUCCCAGCAGCUCAGGAGGCUGAGGCUGGAGGAUGGCAAGUUCAAGGACAGACUCAGCAAAGUGAGGCGCUAAGCAACUCAGCGAGACCCUGUCUCUA
rnacentral:sRNA from 1 species